GGCUACGAUCAUACUACGUUGAAAGCACCGCAUCCCGUCAGAUCUGCACCGUUAAGCAACUUUAAGCCAGGCUGGUACUGUGGUUGGUGACAACAUGGGAACAGUCGGUGUCGUAGGCU
rnacentral:rRNA from 1 species